ACACUGUAAAAAGAGUAGGAAGACUAGCUAGCUUAGCCAGCUCGAACCAAGUGAAGGUAUAACAGCGAGCUGCUUCGCUCUGCUUUUACCUCCGUGAUCAGUGUCUCCGCUGACGCCGAGCUGACGGGACCGACAACGGCGUUCAUGAAGAACAAGCCCAUUUUCAGCGCUGUAUAGUCGGUCUCCCGCAUCCCACUCUUUGUCGUAGCUGUCGACACAUCUGCGGCGCGAUGGGCUCACACCCACUUUGAUUCCCAAGAUGUAUCUUUCCUUCCAUCUCUGGACUCCUGCUCCUUAGGCACUGCUCUCAUUCAGAACAGAGAAGUCAAUGGAUUCUUACAUCCCGGCUUGACAAGUUAGGAGGAUACAAGCUAAUCCCCUUAAUCUGUCUAUUCUCCCGCGCAGUGCCAAAGGGGGAGUGGGACCUGGCGCAAGUAAUCCUAUAGAAAAAACAAUAGGAUUAGUCCCUGACUCUUGGAGUGACAAUCAGGUAUCUACUGACUGAUUUGCAAAGUAGGCUCGAGUUUCUUCAAAUUUGCUUUUUUUUUUCCCUCCUCUGGGUAAAGGGUGCCUUUCACUAAGUGCUGGUGGGAUUCCAUGAGGAGAAAUGCUGGAGGUCUGUAUGAAAGGCAUGUAUUCUUCAGGUCCAGUGCCAGCAGAUGACUGACAGGUCCUUGCCUUCUCCCACAGCAGAGAAGGUGGAGAGGUUGGGGAGCAUGGUGGGCUCAGGCUGGCCCCACCUCUUUACCCUCUGAUUCAACCCUAUUAUAAUUCGAACCGCAUUGCCUUUAAAGAGAGGACUUUGACAGACAGAUCAAACUGCUUUGCUUUUUUUUGCAUAGCAAAUGAAGUUGGUUGAAUGGGCCAGAAAAUUAAGAGAGAUUAAAAAUGCACAAAUGUGUUGUGCCCUUUUUUCUGUUUGCUCUUAUUCCUUUUAUUUCCCCUUAUAAUGACAAACAUUGUUUUUUGUUUAUUUACAAAACUGUAGGAGCAUAAGUUUAUAUAUAUUAGCAUAUAAAUUAAAAUGUAAAAUGACACAUGAAUGAAAACCUGUAAGAAAGCUUAACUGAAUUUCAAUAUACAGUAAAGACUUAAUAUGGACUAAAAUAUACCUUCUUACUUAUAAAUUGGGAAAAAUGGUUAACUAUAAAUAAAUAUAGUUUUAAAAAUGUAUGAAUAGUAUUUGCAGUGCAGUUAUGAGGCAUUUAAAGCCAUCUGCAGUAUAAAUAGCUCUAGGUUGUCUGAUGACUUAUGUACUUAGAUAAAGAUUUUCUUGUCUUUAUAAAAGUUCUUGUAAGUUCUGCAAGUUUUUCCUCUGACCUUUAGAUGGCACUAUUGCUAUAAAAUUACCACUAAGUCCUCUGAGAUGCUUGAGUGAGCUGAGGCCUAUUCCUAGUUGUGUGAUUAGCCUCAGUGAUACCUGAUACUUGACCACAAGCUAAUGCAGCUCGGGAAGGGCAUCAUCCUGUAGGAAACAGGGGUCACCUGCUCUCAAAAGGAAGUCCUUGAUUCUAUUUAAGUCCAGUGAACUUGGCCAAGCAAAACAUGGUCUUACUUUUAACUUAUACUCACGUUACACUCUCAGUCGUCUUUGUGGUUAAGGAGAAGUACAGGUGAAUACAGGUGAAUAAUGUGUGAAAUGGGGUAGGCUUAUUUAACUGUGGUUUACAGGUUCAGUAGUGCCUGCAUUUAUGAAACGACAUCACAAUUCGUGAAGCGUUCUGAAAAAUACUUAAAACUGGACCCUUACAUACCCUUCACAUAGAGUCAUCCCUUUAUUCCAUUAUCAUAUUAAAAUAAAACCUGAGCAGAACUGCAGUUGCCUGUGUUCCCACCCUUGUGAGGUAUAACAUAACAUGGAGGAUAGUGUUUCACCUGCUAAAUACUUUGCUCUGUCUUCCCACUAUUCUUCCAACAUCUGCCAGGAGAGUCACAGUGUAAUUAAAGCUUUGAAGACGCAGGCCAGCACUCUGACCAGAUGCAUCAUUACCUUCGUCAUGCUGUAUUUUGUUUUCUAAAUUUAUGGAGCGGUCUCUGCUCAGGUCACUCUCUGUGGUUUGCCGUCUUUACUCUUAACAUUGUUGUGAUGCUAGAGCAUGUGUCCAGCCCGGGAACAGAUGCUUUACAAACAAACAA